rnacentral:rRNA from 1 species
UACGGAGGGGGCUAGCGUUGUUCGGAAUUACUGGGCGUAAAGCGCGCGCAGGCGGUCCUUCAAGUCAGAGGUGAAAGCCCAGAGCUCAACUCUGGAACGGCCUUUGAGACUAGAGGACUUGGGUACGGGAGAGGUGAGUGGAAUUCCGAGUGUAGAGGUGAAAUUCGCAGAUAUCAGGAGGAACACCAAUGGCGAAGGCAGCUCGCUGGGACGUGACUGACGCUGAGACGCGAAAGCGUGGGGAGCAAACAGG